rnacentral:rRNA from 1 species
CGGACGGGUGAGUAAUGUCUGGGAAACUGCCCGAUGGAGGGGGAUAACUACUGGAAACGGUAGCUAAUACCGCAUAACGUCGCAAGGCCAAAGAGGGGGACCUUCGGGCCUCUUGCCAUCGGAUGUGCCCAGAUGGGAUUAGCUAGUAGGUGGGGUAAUGGCUCACCUAGGCGACGAUCCCUAGCUGGUCUGAGAGGAUGACCAGCCACACUGGAACUGAGACACGGUCCAG